GACGAACGCUGGCGGCGUGCUUAACACAUGCAAGUCGAACGGUAAGGCCCUUUCGGGGGUACACGAGUGGCGAACGGGUGAGUAACACGUGGGUAAUCUGCCCUGCACUUCGGGAUAAGCCUGGGAAACCGGGUCUAAUACCGGAUAUGAGUCCCGGCCGCAUGGUCCGGGGUUGGAAAGUUUUUCGGUGCAGGAUGAGCCCGCGGCCUAUCAGCUUGUUGGUGGGGUAAUGGCCUACCAAGGCGACGACGGGUAGCCGGCCUGAGAGGGUGAUCGGCCACACUGGGACUGAGACACGGCCCAGACUCCUACGGGAGGCAGCAGUGGGGAAUAUUGCACAAUGGGCGGAAGCCUGAUGCAGCGACGCCGCGUGGGGGAUGACGGUCUUCGGAUUGUAAACCCCUUUCAGUAGGGACGAAGCGCAAGUGACGGUACCUGCAGAAGAAGCACCGGCCAACUACGUGCCAGCAGCAGCCGCGG
rnacentral:rRNA from 1 species